rnacentral:rRNA from 1 species
ACAUGCAAGUCGAGCGAAUGGAUUGAGAGCUUGCUCUCAAGAAGUUAGCGGCGGACGGGUGAGUAACACGUGGGUAACCUGCCCAUAAGACUGGGAUAACUCCGGGAAACCGGGGCUAAUACCGGAUAACAUUUUGAACUGCAUGGUUCGAAAUUGAAAGGCGGCUUCGGCUGUCACUUAUGGAUGGACCCGCGUCGCAUUAGCUAGUUGGUGAGGUAACGGCUCACCAAGGCAACGAUGCGUAGCCGACCUGAGAGGGUGAUCGGCCACACUGGGACUGAGACACGGCCCAGACUCCUACGGGAGGCAGCAGUAGGGAAUCUUCCGCAAUGGACGAAAGUCUGACGGAGCAACGCCGCGUGAGUGAUGAAGGCUUUCGGGUCGUAAAACUCUGUUGUUAGGGAAGAACAAGUGCUAGUUGAAUAAGCUGGCACCUUGACGGUACCUAACCAGAAAGCCACGGCUAACUACGUGCCAGCAGCCGCGGUAAUACGUAGGUGGCAAGCGUUAUCCGGAAUUAUUGGGCGUAAAGCGCGCGCAGGUGGUUUCUUAAGUCUGAUGUGAAAGCCCACGGCUCAACCGUGGAGGGUCAUUGGAAACUGGGAGACUUGAGUGCAGAAGAGGAAAGUGGAAUUCCAUGUGUAGCGGUGAAAUGCGUAGAAAUAUGGAGGAACACCAGUGGCGAAGGCGACUUUCUGGUCUGUAACUGACAC